GACGAACGCUGGCGGCGUGCUUAACACAUGCAAGUCGAACGGAAAGGCCCUGCUUUUGUGGGGUGCUCGAGUGGCGAACGGGUGAGUAACACGUGAGUAACCUGCCCUUGACUUUGGGAUAAAUUCAGGAAACUGGGGCUAAUACCGGAUAGGAGCUCCUGCUGCAUGGUGGGGGUUGGAAAGUUUCGGCGGUUGGGGAUGGACUCGCGGCUUAUCCGCUUGUUGGUGGGGUAGUGGCGUACCAAGGCUUUGACGGGUAGCCGGCCUGGGAGGGUGAACGGCCACAUUGGGACUGAGAUACGGACCAGACGCCUACGGGAGGCAGCAGUGGGGAAUAUUGCACAAUGGGCGGAAGCCUGAUGCGGCAACGCCGCGUGCGGGAUGACGGCCUUCGGGUUGUAAACCGCUUUCGCCUGUGACGAAGCGUGAGUGACGGUAAUGGGUAAAGAAGCACCGGCUAACUACGUG
rnacentral:rRNA from 1 species